GCCGGGUGCAGAGGCCCACGCCUGUCACCCCAGUGACUCGGGAGGCUGAGGCAGGAGGAUUGUGAGUUGGAGGCCGGCCUCUUCAACUUAGUGAAGCCCUCAUCAAGUUAGCGAGACCCUGUCUCUA
rnacentral:sRNA from 1 species